ACAGCAGUCGCCGCGGGAAUACGUAGGUCCCGAGCGUUGGCCGGAUUUAUUGGGCGUAAAGGGAGCGCAGGCGGUUUAGUAAGUCUGAAGUUAAAGGCAUUGGCUCAACCAAUGUAUGCUUUGGAAACUGUUAGACUUGAGUGCAGAAGGGGAGAGUGGAAUUCCAUGUGUAGCGGUGAAAUGCGUAGAUAUAUGGAGGAACACCGGUGGCGAAAGCGGCUCUCUGGUCUGUCGCUGACGCUGAGGCUCGAAAGCGUGGGUAGCGAACAGGAUUAGAUACCCCUGUAGUCCCUGUCUCUUAUACA
rnacentral:rRNA from 1 species